rnacentral:rRNA from 1 species
CGAGAAAGUGGAGCAUCCAUGAGUAAAGUGGCGCACGGGUGAGUAACACGUGAAUCAUCUACCUCCGAGUGGGGAAUAACCUAGAGAAAUCUGGGCUAAUACCGCAUAACACUUACGAGUCAAAGCAGCAAUGCGCUUGGAGAGGAGUUCGCGGCCGAUUAGCUAGUUGGCGGGGUAAUGGCCCACCAAGGCGAUGAUCGGUAUCCGGCCUGAGAGGGCGCACGGACACACUGGAACUGAAACACGGUCCAGACUCCUACGGGAGGCAGCAGUGGGGAAUUUUGCGCAAUGGGGGAAACCCUGACGCAGCAACGCCGCGUGGAGGAUGACAUAUCUUGGUAUGUAAACUCCUUUCGAUAGGGAAGAUUAUGACGGUACCUAUAGAAGAAGCCCCGGCUAACUUCGUGCCAGCAACCGCGGUAAUACGAGGGGGGCAAGCG